rnacentral:rRNA from 1 species
UACGUAGGGCGCAAGCGUUAUCCGGAAUUAUUGGGCGUAAAGAGCUCGUAGGCGGUUUGUCGCGUCUGCCGUGAAAGUCCGGGGCUCAACUCCGGAUCUGCGGUGGGUACGGGCAGACUAGAGUGAUGUAGGGGAGACUGGAAUUCCUGGUGUAGCGGUGAUAUGCGUAGAUAUCGGGAGGAACACCUGUGGCGAAGGCGGCUUUCUGGGCCUUACCUGACGCUGAGACGCGAAAGCGUGGGGAGCGAACCGG